rnacentral:sRNA from 1 species
AUAUCUCUCUGUACGGGAAGGAUGAGAAGCUUCGACUAAGGUUCGAUUCGAGCGAAAGCGAGAAAGCGCUGCCGCAGGCAACGACCCGAAGGGCGAAGCGCGCAGCGCUGAGUAAUCCUUCCCCCACCACCA